rnacentral:rRNA from 1 species
CCUACGGGCGGCAGCAGUCGAGAAUCAUUCACAAUGGGGGAAACCCUGAUGGUGCGACGCCGCGUGGGGGAAUGAAGGUCUUCGGAUUGUAAACCCCUGUCAUGUGGGAGCAAAUUAAAAAGAUAGUACCCCAAGAGGAAGAGACGGCUAACUCUGUGCCAGCAGCCGCGGUAAUACAGAGGUCUCAAGCGUUGUUCGGAAUCACUGGGCGUAAAGCGUGCGUAGGCUGUUUCGUAAGUCGUGUGUGAAAGGCGCGGGCUCAACCCGCGGACGGCACAUGAUACUGCGGGACUAGAGUAAUGGAGGGGGAACCGGAAUUCUCGGUGUAGCAGUGAAAUGCGUAGAUAUCGAGAGGAACACUCGUGGCGAAGGCGGGUUCCUGGACAUUAACUGACGCUGAGGCACGAAGGCCAGGGGAGCGAAAGGGAUUAGAUACCCGGGUAGUC